rnacentral:rRNA from 1 species
GACGAACGCUGGCGGCGUGCUUAACACAUGCAAGUCGAGCGGAAAGGCCCUUUCGGGGGUACUCGAGCGGCGAACGGGUGAGUAACACGUGAGUGAUCUGCCCUUGGCUUUGGGAUAACCACCGGAAACGGUGGCUAAUACCGGAUACGACCACUCCCGGCAUCGGGUGGGGGUGGAAAGGUUUUUCGGCCAGGGAUGUGCUCGCGGCCUAUCAGCUUGUUGGUGGGGUAAUGGCCUACCAAGGCUUCGACGGGUAGCCGGCCUGAGGGGGUGACCGGCCACACUGGGACUGAGACACGGCCCAGACUCCUACGGGAGGCAGCAGUGGGGAGUAUUGGACAAUGGGCGGAAGCCUGAUCCAGCAACGCCGCGUGAGGGAUGACGGCCUUCGGGUUGUAAACCUCUUUCAGUACCGACGAAGCGCCGAUGAUGGCGGUGACGGUAGGUACAGAAGAAGCACCGGCCAACUACGUGCCAGCAGCCGCCGUAA